rnacentral:lncRNA from 1 species
UUUCUGUCUUCAUUUAUUCUUUUAGUUUUACACCUCUGUCAGUUUCCCAAGUCCAUGCUACUAUAUCAUAAUUAUUUUACUCAUGUUUAUAUUUACUUAGCUUCUAACCUUUAACUAUAAAAGCUUAUUAUGUAAACACCAUAGUUUGAGUAAUAUUCUGGAAAAUAUUAAACUUCUUGUACAUCUGUAAUUACUUUUAACUUAUUUCCAGUUGGAAAAUUAACAAUUUAAAGAAUAGGACUUUUUCUGGAUACAACUGAAGUCUUUCAGAAAGUGAGAACUAAUUUGUCCUUCCACUAGCAGGAAAAGUUCUUUGACAAUCUUUGACCAAGGUGUGACUGCUUCUUUACACAUUUACAUCACAUGCUUUGUGCUGAAGUAUGUUAAGGUAAGUUACCUGUAGGAUCCUUAUAAAUAUCCAAUAAAUAGGAAUGAGUUCACA